GAAAACCUCUCCUGAGAGCUCCCUGCUAGCAUACAUUUCUUAUUCAAGAAGACAAAAGAAAAUAUCGGAUUCACGGAGAUCUGCACUGGAGUCCCAGCUGAGACCUUGAUUAUCUUAUCAUUCUUCCUGACAAUUUUUAACUCACUGUGAGGUCACUGGACUUUGACAGGUGAUGAAUACUUCUGGCCUCCAUUAUAAUACUAACAAGAACUAUAUAUAUGCAC
rnacentral:lncRNA from 1 species